CCUGUGCCAGGUACAGGACUGCUGUGGAGCAGUGCAGAGGAGCAGGAGCUGCAUCACAGCUCAGUCCUGGGAGCUGCCUCUGGGGCAACACCAGUGCCUGUGCUUGGAGUAAGGCCAUGGCUGAUUACUAAGUAAGCUGGUGGUGCUCGCUGUAGUUUUUAGGAUAUUCCAUGUGAUCUACCCCCAUUGGCCUGGAUGAAAAUGCAAACCAGGGAACUUGGCUCUUUACAGGUUAAGUAGCUGGAACUCCUUGGUAUUGGCUGCAGUGAAAAACUGCUGGCUGUGGAUGUAGAAACGACUACUACUAGGGUAUUGAAAUUAUACUAGUUAAUGAAAGUAGAAAGUAAUUUCAUUUGCAUUCUCAGAACUUUGUUGAAGAGUUCUUUAAGAAGUGCAGCAGGGGGGAUUAAAGAAAAAAAUGCGGGAAGGACAGAGGAAUUUUAAUGUUUUUCUAUCCUGAGUUUUUAUAGGAAUGGUGCUAUUAAUGGCUUAGUGAAUGCUUGUUUGUCUCCAUGUGAAGGAAGAUGGAUGUGUGAAGAGUCACCCAAGUUCCAGGGAGAAAUUGAGCAAGACAGAUUAGUCCCACCUCAGCCUGACACCUGGGGCACAUCUUUAUCUAGGGGGGUAAAUGGAUCAGAAUGUUACCGCCCGUUUAUUUAUUCUCCUUCUGUUUGGAGACUUUCCCUGAUUAAUUACUCUCUAGUAAUUGCUGCUGUUAACUAAUGUCAAAUCUAAUUAACCUGGAGUCCCUUCAUCCAGUACCUUCAGCACCCCUUUGCAAAGACGAGAAGGUCAUCAGCAAGGAGGUUCUGAGGAUGGCCACACUUUACCCAUUCGUUUAUUUGCUUUGGGCCUUGUUUGCUAUUCCUGCUGCAAUGCCUGGCGACAGCUUUCUAGAAUUCCCAUCAAGUCUAAUUGGCCUGCUGAAGCAGCAGUGAACACAAGAUUUAAGAAAUGUUUUCUUUAAAAACUUCUGGUCCUACAGACACUUUGAGAUCAAGUUUCACUCUGCUGAAAUCACACACGAUUCCCUGUGAUUUUCAUGAGAAAUACUGCAAGAAAGUAUUAAAAGAGAAACAUGUCUCUGUGGUUUGGAGGGACUGAUGGCCAGGGGGGUUGAAGAGUGGGUGGUGGUAACAUAGCAAGGCAUCUACAGAAUCUUUAAAGGUUGCCAAAAUUAACACAUACAAGGUAUUCAGUAUCAAAGUUUUCAAUAUUUGGCUCCAUAAACACAAUACCGGUUGCAAAAACAAAGCUAAGGAUUUCAUGCUGAUUACUUAAAUAAAAAUUGUUUAAUUAUGAACAUUUGGGAAAUGAAGUUAUGAAGGACUGACCAAUAUUGCUAUGGCUUCCUAGUGUUCAUAGCAUACUGUGAACACUGUGCCAGCAUCUCACUGUGUAAAGCAUUGUAGAUCCAUCUAUGGUAAACAGUUCUAAGGCUCAGUGUGCCUCGGGCAGAUGGCUCCAUGCAGAAGGAGGUCUCCCAUCAUUAAAGCCUAUGGCUUUUAGCUCCACUAAAGAGUGGGCUUUCCAGUCCAAAAAAAGCUACCAGCAUUGUCUGUGGAGAGCCUGAUCAGGGAUGUCAAGAUUUUUUUUUCUGCUUUUAGGUAUUUUCAUAGAUCAGCACUAGAAGAUUUAUUUCAGAAAAUGAAUAGGAAUAAUUCAAGAUGUGUUACUAUUCCAGAAAUACUGGGUAACACUUCAGAUUCAUGGCAAAGAUCUGUUUUUUUUUUUCUUUAUGGUUUUCUAAGAUUAAUACUGAAAUACGCAUCUCUUGGAAAUUUUGGUCCUGGAUUACUCUUGUCUGUGUCUGACUUUUCAACCUCUCCUGUCCAUCCCUCUGACUGGCUGCAAACCAUUUUUCUGACUCGAUUGCUUUAUCUCACCAAUUACAACUCUCAUAGAUACAACUUCCAGUUGAAGUUUUGGCAACAUAAAUGAGAGGUACAUGAUAUUAGAGUAACAAGUUCUGUGUUCUCAAAAACACAGUCUGAGGUCACAUGAUUUACACUAGAGUGGCAGUGGAGCAUAUGUCCAGUCAGUCAGCACUUACAACUGGUGAGCUCUUGGUAUGACUACCAUUACCACCUAUUAAGGCUUUUCACCCAUAAGUUGGAUAGUGGAAAAUCACAUAAAGCUAAUACAUUGAAUGCUCUGUCCUGCCCUGUUGUGUGAGAAAAAGAAUUGUUUAUUAAGUAAAUUCUGCACUUUAGAAUCUAGCAUUACAAGGUAAACUACCUUUAAUUUUAAUUUGCUGUAAAAAAUUUAAAUUGCAGCAGUUCAGUUGUUGUUUCACAAAAAUUUUGGUAUUUUUACUGAGAAGAAAAGAAAGGUAAGGGUAACAGGUAUCUAGAGUUUGAAGACUUUUAAAGCAUCGUGUAUAAGUCAUUCCCAACUAGAAAUCCAAGAUGUAACAUUAAUCUUCCAAUUAAAUGAGUCUACUGUAAUUACUUUCUGGGUUGAAGGCAGGUAUGUUUUAUCACAAUACUCCUUGUGCUUCCCGUGCUGUCACCUUAUUUACAUCUUUGAACUAUGCUCCUUUUCUUCCCUGCAACUCUUCUGUUAUGAAAAUUCUAAACCAUAUCACUCUUAAUGGCCACACCUCACUACUGAAUUAAACCAUUACACAUAGUGUUUUCAGGACACAAAUUUAUACACAACUCAUAUUUGAUUGCUAGUGCGGUGCCUGAUGUAUUUGCCUGGAUGAUUUAAUAUUUUCCCUAAAUGAUCACUAGGCAUACUCUUUGGGUUUGAAAAUAUCAGGCCCUAGUUCCACUAUCUGGUUUGGGCACAUCCAUCCCACUUAAAAAGCUAGGAGUCCUCAGAAAUACACAAGUAAUUUAUUCCCAUCAUACUGAAGUUCUUUUCUAGAGAUUGGCUUGGAUAGGUCACUUUGUACUCCUUUCUUCUCAGAAGUCCAUUAGGAGUCAUUCAGAAUUAGAUAAUGUUAUUCAAUGUUAAUUUUUAAAUAGCUAACAUUAGGAUUGUGUUCUGCUUUAAUUUCCUACAAAGGCAAAGCCAGAGGAAGAUACAAAACUGAAGAAAAACAUAUUCCUAGCAUUUCUAAGGGAAACACAUCACCACCAGCAGCAGAACACUAAACCUUCUUGGUGUAAGGACUGGAAUUCCUAGAUUUCCUGUGAACAAUAAGGAAGACGAAAUUUCUCCCACCAUCUAAAGCAAGAAAGGAACACUUGUUGCAGCUUUACAUAAAUGAGUAUAUUUGACCUAAAAGAUGCUGUUAUUAUUAAUUUUAGCUAUUCAUAUAAAAUAUUGUUAGAUUGUUAACAAAAAUAUAUGUGCAAUUAUCUGGUUUUCAUUUAUGUGAUACUAAAGCCUUAAGAAUAUUUGCCACCUUGAAGAAAGACAGUCUUUUGUCCUAUAAUUCUCUUACCUUUCCCGUGCAAUUACUAAUAUGAACAGUUGGAAAAUGGCAGAAUUCCUUCAAUUAUGAUGUCCACAGUGUCAAUGAUGUCAAAGUGAAUAAAUUUGAAGAAAAAACUUAUUCCCCUCCCUUGUCCUUUCCCCUUCCUUCCCCUCCCAUCCCAACAGUACAGAACAAAUCAUAAUAGAAAAGGAAAUAUGGCAGGAGGUGUAGCCAGAUAACAUCUGGCUGAGAAGCUCAACUUCUGGAGCUCUGAAACUGCUUCUAUAAUGGCAAGUUAAAGAUUACCUGGAAACAUUCCCAGACACUGAAACUCUGCACUGUAAAAUUGUUAGCACAGACCCUGGAAUGGCUUUGACCCUCUCCCGCUAACCCCUUCCCAAGCAUUCCUAGAUAAUGUGCAGGAGUCAAAAUUGCUGGAGGAUCAUUGCCAGGAGGCAGUUUGGGUGGAGUUACAAUUUAAGCUAAAAAACCUUAAUUUCAUAGAUGUGGGCAAACUGUGCCACUUGGCCAGCCCAGGGGUCUUGGCACUGUUCAGUUUCCUGGUACAGAUUUUACCUGAAACUUCCAAGAUCUGUCCACAUCUACAGCUGGGUCUGGCACAGAUUAGAUUCUGUUUUUCUGGAAAUAUUUCUAGGUGGUCUAUUGCAAGUGCUCAUGAGAUUGCUAUUCUGAAAAUAUUUUGAUAUAUAUUUACAAUUUAUGUUAUAUCUGAGUGUUUCACAGAUACUUUUAACUUACCUGACUACACAAGAUGUAUAAACAGACCAGGAUUAUGAACAUAUUCUGGAAUAAAAAGACAUUUUCAAGGCCACCUUCCCCCUCACACACUCAGAAACACCCAACCCCCUUCUACCAAUGAUAUUUUAAAUUCUCAAAAUAUAGCAAUGUCAAUGCCCAAAUCCUUUGCAGUCAUACUGAGUCUAUAAUUUAAGAGGCCAAAAAAAUUUUAAGGAAAAAUAAUGGUAAAGAGCAUUUUCCAACUCUAUUUUACCUCUUCCAUAACACUGUGCAAAUGGGAUGGCUUAUUACUCUAAUUCCCUCAUAAAGAUACUUCUUGCCAGAGAUACAGUAUCUCUGAAAACAUGACUUAGCUACAGAUAUCAGUACUACAUGCUCAGAUUUUAUACUGAUGUCUCUCGGAACAGAAAUCUUCCCUUAUUAGUUGUUCUUAUACUUUUAACCAGUAUUGUUAAUACAAAAAGUGACAACAGUCAGAUACAGUUAUACAUAUAGGUAUGCAUUUGUUUGUUUCCUCUCCAGCUGCAGUUAUACUAACAAACUCUUUCUUUUUCUUUUGGAUCUUAAUCUAACAAGAAAAAAAAUAGUUAAGAUGUUAAAAAACCUCUUUACUGCAAAAGGCUUUCUGGUAUUUUUACACCAGUUGAUCUAUACCAAAAAAUCUCUUUAAAUAUAGACAAGUGCUAAUGUUCAUACAUGCUCAACAAAAAGAAAAACUUCUUGUUAAAGGUCUUCAGCAUUCAAAAUAUGUGUGAGGGAAAUUUUCAGGGUAGUUUAACAUGAAAAAUUCUGAACAAUGCCUUUCACUGUAAUGAAGAUAGAGUAUAGGCAAAGCCUUUUAAGAGUCAUUGUAUUUUCCAGGUGCCUUCAGCAGUUGCCUUUAUGCAAAGCAAGUAACAGGGGGGUUAUCCAUUGUAUACAAAAGUACUUUUUUUUUUUCCCUCUAGAAGUUGCAUGUAUUUCUGUUUCACAUGACAGAUUCAUCUCUGUGUCUUCUGGCACCUUAGAUCUUCACAAGAUCUUUCAUCACCAAAGAGAAAAACAUGUUAAUACCAGUGGGUUUGCUAUAGGAUUUCUACCUUUGGAUAGUAAAGCUCAACCAAUUGCACCAAUUUAGCUGCUCUAUUUAGAAAUACCACAACAUGAUAUUGGAAAUACUGUAUAAAAAUGGCAAGUUUUUGUCACUCUUAAGAUGUAAUUGAUGUGCUUAGGAUAACUGCAACCUAAAAACUAGCUUCUAAUCUAUGAGACAGGCCUUUCCAGUGACAUGCAAAUAUAUUCCAGAGGAAAGUAGUUUUAUGAAAGAGCAAAAAGCAGACAGGAGGAGGAGAAGUAAGGCAAUGGAUAGAUUUAUAACUGAGAUUCAGCUGCAAAAAUCUUGGGAACUUGCAGCCUAGUACAAUUGUGGCUUGCAUCCUUGGGUGCUUCUUUGACUUGUGUCAGAUAUGAAGUCAAGGAAAACUGUGGAUACUCACUGAAUGUUUAAAUCUUGUACAUUGUUGUUCUUUCUUUCUCUUUCAAGCAUCAAACCUAACAAAAAAUCUUGCUAUACACAUAUAAAAAACUCCACCCCUACCAAACUUCCACUUUUCAUGCUGUCCAAGGAGCUGAAUGAAAUUCCUUUAUAAAAUUUUUUAAUUUUGAUCCAUAUAAGUGACUUAAUUUGGGGUAAGAAUUAAUUCACUGGUCAAAAUUUCUGAGGGUAUUGCUUGCAAAAACGGGCACUUUAUUUUAAUAAAACUUACUGAAUUCUGUUGAGCUGAUUAAUAACACUAAUAUAUCCAGAAAGUCUGAAACAAAAAGCAGCAGUCAUAUUGAAAGUAGAAGAAAUUACUUAUCAAUUAUGACUAGUUUGUGAUCAGAAACCAUUUAAUUACAGGAACAAUUUGUGCAAGAUUUGAGAAAAAAAAAGACAGUAAGAAUAAAUAUUAAUUAAAUUUGGAAUAAAUAAAUAAAUAAGUAAAUAAAUGAGCAAUCAUAUUUUUAGCUUGAGUUAACCUCCUGUUAGGUAAAGCAGUGUGCUGAGAUAUUACAAAGAGUAUAAAAGCUAUCCUCCAUAUCUGGAGUUGAUAACAUGCUGUGUCUCGCCACACCAUUUAAGCAAUAAUUUCACUCCUAAUUCUGUUUUUAGAGAAUUGUGCCUCAAAACUCAUGUAGCCAAAUCAAGCUAUAAAUGAGCUAUAACUUAAAAACUUUUAAAAAAUUGCAAAUAAAUAUAAUAAAUUCUCCAUCAAUAUCAAUCUUUCCAUCAGAACUGUGUGGCUAUGAGAGAGACUAACCCGAACAGAAGUUACCAAAAGGUAAUGCAGAGUAAAAAUUCCCUGCAGCCUUAAAAAUCCUGAAUAUUUCCAUUACUAAUCAUCCACACGCGCUUCAUCAGUCAAGAGAAGUUCAGCAGUGGAAUGGAGAAACAGAAAUUGUCAACUUUGUUUUGCAUUCACAUGGAUGAAUUUGGUUCUUGAAGGACUGCAGAAAAGUAUAUACAAAGUGGGAUACUUAAACUGUUACAUUUGUUGAUUUCUGUCAACCAAUGUCUUGGAAUGCUCCACAGCUGACAAGGUUAGAGCAGAAUCAAGAAAGUCAGUAACAGUUUACAAUAUUUAUUAAGAAAAUAAGCAAAAAAUUCUUAAAAUAUUUGUCAUCACACAACAGCAUAUGUUAUUAGGUCUUUUGUACUGUGUGACUUGAUCAGAAUUUCCCCCUCUGCUUUAAACUGCUAUUUGCACUUGCUCACAUUUCUUAAGAUGUCACCGAUUUAAAACACAAUUUGGAUAUAUGUGCUUCCAGAAAAUGUAGCCUCAAUUGAAUUAUCUUUCCUUACUUUGUAAUGAAUAUGUGCUUUUACUUUUCUCCAUACCGUAUUUUUUAUAUUUCUUUGAACAGUUUGCAAUAUAUUUAUGAUGUUUCUAGUGCUUCUUUGAUAAGAAAUUUCAUCAGAAUCCUCAAUAUCUCUCAACUGCUGGUCUAAGGACAUGCAAAAAAGAUAUAUUUUAGCAAAACUCCUUGUGCCAUGCAAGACAGAGAAAAAAAUUGAGUUAUUUUUGGUUUCAUUCUUGUCAGGAGUAAUUUUGCCUUUGCUUUCAAAAGUAUUAUUCAUCACUUGAUGUACAGUCUACCCAGUUUGGGGAUGAGAUGCUACAUGCAUUUGUCUGAGCCUGUAAAUUUGACAGGUAAUCCAUUUUUAGGGAAUUUCGAGACAUUUUUUAACACUUCAGCUGUAUGUCCCAGCUGGAAACAAAUAUGCCAAAUCAGUUAUUUCUUAACACAUGGAGACGGAAUUGCUUUUAUUUGUCCUUGACAGAUUUUUUUCAGGGAUGUCUAUUUCUUUGCCUAUCAGUUUAUUAGUAAAAUCUAAGUAUCUUUAUCUAGUGCCUCCAGCCAACUGCAAGUACAGCCUGAGAUACAUAAAUAAAACAUCAUUGUUUUUUUCUAUCACCUCAGCCAACAUCUCCUCUAGCUCAGCUUUCUCCUGCCAACUACAUAAAGUAAAAAAGCAAAAUCCAAAAUGCAACAAGUUCCCAACUGUAUCCUUAGCAUGAACUGGUAUUUUCUAAAUUACUCAGAAGCCAAAGUUAGUUAUCACAGGAUGGCCUCAGAGACAGUUCUCUGAGUUAUACUAUCAUCUGUACAAAGAUAGCUCUGAUGUAUUUUCUUUCUUGGCUCUAAUUUGUGGUAAGGAAAAGUUUCACAGUUAAAUACGCUUGCCAUCUGCACAGGAAAGCAAAUCAGAAAGAAAGCAAAUCAGGUAAAUACAUCUCCUGAAAAGAUCCCUUUAAAUACCUUUGAGGUCACAGUUUCAAAACCCUGACUUCUUUUUGAUAUGUCCAGAAUCCCUCCUCCGAUGGCAUUUCCAAAUGUCCGUGCUGGUUCUCUCUUUCUUACAGAUCUAACAAAGAAAUAAUCUUGGACAUUGACUGGGCUCAAGAGAUGGUUUAAAAUUUAGCAUCCCUUUCCCUAAAAGACACUGUUUGGGGAUUCUUACUACUUCAUCCAUCUUUCUCUUCCCCCCGGGUUGCUGGGAAGGACCAUCCCAUCUUGGCUCUGACCCUCCACUCCUGCUACUGUUGUUGAUACUGCUGCUGACUCUCUGUAGCCAUGAUUGAUGUCUUGCUGACAGGCACAUAAAUCAUGCCUGUUCAUAAUGGCUAAUGUUGGUAUUUGCAUGUAUUAAGCAUGUUUUAGCUCUGAGACACUUAGCACCAUGCGUGCUGCAUUCAUUCGGCUACCUCAGGGCCUUGGAGGGAGAGGAAGGGAGUUUUCCAUUUAUAGAUAGUUUUGUUUGGGCAGUGGGGAGAGCAGAGACCAUUGUUAAAAAUCCAUCCAGAUGAACAGGAAUGAACUUUGCAGCUGCAGCACAAUUCUCUCAGCCUACAAGACCCUACAGGAUAAAUUGUCUGGCUGACAGCAUAUCGGCAGCUGCAAACAACGGUGCAUCUGCAGUAUCACUGGAUUUUGUACCAUGUGCUGGGAUAUGAGUGCAAAAGAAAGAUGUUUCUUAAAUCCUGAGGCUUUUAAUCUUUCACACAGACUUUUGUGGAUACCUGGCCUUUUACAGAUGAUUUUUGAAGAAGGUGCAAUUCCGAUUUCUUAGAUUUUAUCACUAUAAUUUCUUCUCCCGCUGUUGGCCCAAAAAACCCAAGAAACUAUUCUUAUUAUUUCAUAAUAUAAUUAUCAGUCCUAUGUUUCUGUCCUUUCCAAAAGUACUCUGCAGGGAACAAUUUGUCCCAGAAUUUGGCAGCCUGGACAGCCUUCAGUUUUUACUAACCCUCCUGAUGGGAAUGAAGUUUUGGCAGCUGAUGGAAUCACAGAGGUGCUUCCAGAUAACUGAGAUUUUUUUCUAAGGAGCAUGACACUUUUCACAUUAAACAACGACUAAGGAAAAGGAGAGAGUCUUGGUUACAUGAGAUGAAGAAGUGAGAAACCUACAGUGUGAAUGCUUAGACAACAAAGAAAUCAUUGGAGGAAAUCCAAAGUUUAUUUUUUUUAAUGGAGAUAGAGAAAGGGAGUAAGAAAAUGAAGAAAUAUUAUGAAUUUUUCAGUUAAUUUUACCUGUAAAUAUAUGCAUAUUAAAUAUUAUAUGGUUGCUGUGAUUGCAACAUUAAAAUGUGACCCAA